GGGGGAAGCAUAUUACAGAAGUGAGAAACAAAGACCGUUAUUCAAUUGAGACACUCAUUACAUUAUUUCUAACUUUUCAAGGAAAAACAUGUUUUACGACUUGAGUUUAUCUGCCUAGUAACCUUGCAACUGCACAGUUAGAGAAACAGGAUCUUCGCAAUGCCUGGGAAAGAGAGAGAUAAGACUCACAAGCCACAGACAGAAAAACAGGCGUUAAUUUUUAAAGGACUCCACCUCUUUUUCUUUCUCAGGGGGAAUUGGGUUUUUUUACAUACAACUGAGUUUUCGCUUACACGUUCUUUAAUUUCUUUUAAUUCCUGUUUCAUCACCAGGCUGGAAUGUAGUGGUGCAAUAACAGCUCACUGUAGCCUCGACCUCCUGGGCUCAAGCCAUCCCCAACCUCACCCUCCCGAGUAGCUGGGACCACAGGCGUGUGCCACCACACUCAGCUAAUUUAUUUAAAACAAUUUUUUUUAGAGAUGAGGUCUCCCUUUGUUGCCCAGCUGGUCUGAAAUUCCUGGUUUCAAGUGACCCUCACACGUCAGCCUCCUAAAGAGGUGAAGUUAUAAGCAUGAACCAUUGUGGCCAGCGGUGGGACUGAUCCUUACAAAGGUCUUGUGUGCUUCUUAUCUCUCUUGGAACCACGUCAUGGCCAUGAAAACAAGCUCAAGCUAGCCUACUGAAGGAUACAAGAACCAUAGAGGAAAGCUGAGUCACUUUAGCUGAGGCCAUAAUAGACUGAUCAGCCCCCUGCCAACAACCAGUGAUGGCAGAUGCUUGAUCGGGCCCCAGAAAGUUCAUCAGAAAUGAGUGAGUCAAGGUCACAAUAACUGAUCAGCUGAACCAUGGACUCAGGAAAAAUUUUUUUUAAAGGUAGUUGUUUGUUUUGUUUUUUAACAUACCAGUAGCUACAUAGCCCAUAUUGCAAAUGACAUCAAAUUGGACAGAAUGGUUACUGGGUUGUAAUUUUGGAAUGACGGAUUCUAAGUAUCAAGAAGAAUCUGAAUGGGAACAAAUGUAUAAUUCUCAUGAAGUGCUGUACUUGAUUAAAAACUCAAUACAAAACUAAGAUGGUCUCCAGAUACAAGGAUGUAAUAUUUUCCAAUAUAUUUUUAGCAAACUCUCUGGAAUAGUUGGUUGUACUUCGGAGGCUGGUCUAGGGAAGAAUGGUUAGAAUCAGUCUAGAAAUCAUGUCAAAUUCUUAUCACUUGCUAUCAAACUAGCUGGUUCAAUUCCUUAUUAGUGAUCUGCAAUAAGAUAAAAUCUUGUGCUACAACAUAAAGCAACUAUCUCAAUAAACACAGUUUAAUUCAGCUAACUUUAUUUUUUUUUGUAGCAAGAAUUUUUCAGUGAAAUAAGUGGUGUGUUGAUUUAUAGUUUGGUGCAAGCUCCCUAUCUUCUUGCAGACCUAUAACAUAUGUGCAGAGGGUAAGAAAUAGUCACAGACCAUCACCAGUGCACUGACCACACAGUGAAACCCUCUGCACUAGAGGAAUGGUUAAAUGAACCUAGGCUACCUAUCUCAGAAACAAACAAACAAACAAACAAACAAACAAAUGCAUACACCUAAAAACAAAACGAGAAAACCCCAAUAACUAUAGUAGUUUCUUCAAUAUGUUAAACUGCAAAUCAGGAAGAUUUUACUCUAUAUGGUUUUGGAGAGAAGAAAGGAAAAAACACAAAGGGAGGGAGUAUCUUUUAGCUCAGUAUAAAGAAUAUUCUAAGGAUAAUAUAAUAUACCACAAAGAGAAACUGUAUAUUGUCCUUAUUCCUUAUUAGCAAUAUUCAAAAUAAAGAAGGGAUUGAACUGGGAAGGUUAGUUGUAGGAGGACAAAUCCCCAGAUGACCUUGGCUGCCCCAGCUCUUUCCCCUGCCACUUAACAGUGACUUUCUCUUUAUCCCAUUGUAGUUCUAGAAUGGGGCAUCCUAGUAACUACAAUGGGGCAUCUUGAGAUAAAGAGAAAGUGUUGGGUACAACCUAGGCUAUGUCCUCCUCCCUCUUAGAACGGGAUGUUCCUCAGUGCUUCAGCUCAGCAAUUCAAGUGGUAUCUAGGGUGUAUUGAGUUCCCUCAGCUGUGUCACAAUGGGGCAAGCACAGAUAAGACUCCAUUCGCCCUCAGCAGUUUCCUGAGCCUUGGGAAGCUGGCUCACCAAGGAUUCUAGGCUUCUGUUUAUUCUUGCUGCAUAUCUGUGAAAAAAAAAAAAAAAUCUGCUUUGGCUGAUUUGUGUGAGUGUUCUGUCUCACCAUUCUUAUGCAAGCAAUAGAGGUACUGGGACCCAUUUUGCUCCUCCAUGCUGUCCUCAUGGUGUUUGGACUGCAGAAGCAUCUAGGUCUUCUCUAAGCUUCUGCCAGACUUACAAACUUCUGUAUUAGUUAUGCCUUUCAAUUCUAUGAUUUAAACAUUCUCCUUUGUCCUUUCAAAUUAAAAAAAAAAUCCUCUUUCUUUCCCCAAGUAAUUCAUUUCUGAAGUUGUGUUGACCUUUGACUCUAUCAUUCAUUCUACUUAAGAAGAUAAUUAUAUAAAUUAUAUUUAAUGGUUGGAAUUAUGACAAACAUACAAAAUCUCUAUUUUAGUUACGCUAAAUACACUAAGUAGUCUACUUACACUGCUGUCUUGCAGAGGCAAAUGAUCGGAAGCAUAUAGUUGCUCAAUCAGUGUAUUUUUAUAGAUAUUGGAAAGAAAGUUCUUAGACUUGAUGUGUUUAAUUCCCCAAGUAUACAAAUGCAAUAUAAAUUCUUGUCAUUGGAUAAAACAGAAUCAAAAUCGAUUUAAAUAUUAGAUAAAUAAAAGACAUAUACCAUUAGGAUGCACAGUCCGGAUAUUUUUCUUUUUGUUAGAGUUGAAAAUGAAUGAUUUCAAGUGAAUUAUUCCUAUGAGCUUUACUUUUUCUGUUGUUGCUAUCAUAAUUCCAUAGAACCAAUCCUUAAUUUUUAUACAUAAUUUGAGGGCUCAAGCAUUAUAUGUGAGAACCAAAACCAUCUAUGCUCACAUAGCUUAUAUAUUAAAAGCUGUAAUAUUAACAUUAUUUUAUUAUUCAGCUGUCCUCAUCUACAUAACUUUCUUACUCCAGGAAACUCUUGCUCAGAAAGAUGAAAGAUGAAAGUGAUUUUGUCGCAUGAACUUAAGAAAAACUCAUUUAAUGAAUAUCAAAUCUUUUGAUGUUUCAGUAGGUAGCAUCAAACAGCUGAUUCUGUAGAAUGUUUUGAAACCCUUGCUUCAAAACCCUCUCUUUGUAUCCACCAAUCCUAAACUUUCAUAUUAUAAUCAUCCAAUUCUAAGCAAGCCUCCAUAAGGCAUGUUAAAAGACUUGCUUUGCAAUACCACUCAGGACAUAGGCAUGGACAAAGACUUACAAUGAAAUCACCAAAAGCAAUUGCAACAAAAGCUAAAAACGACAAAUGGGAUGUAAAUAAACUAAAGUGCUUCUGCACAGCAAAAGAAACUAUCAUCAGAGUGAACAGGCAACAUACAGAAUAGGAGAAAAUUUUUGCAAUCUACCAUAUGACAAAGGUCUAAUAUCCAGAAUUUACAAGGAAUUUUAAAAAAUUUACAAGAAAAGAACAAACAACCCCAUCAAAAAGUGGGCAAAGGAUAUGAACAGGUGCUCCUCAAAAGAAGACAUUUAUGUGGCCAACAUACACAUAAAAAAAAAAAGCUCAACAUCACUGAUCAUUAGAGAAACGCAAAUCAAAAGCAGAAUGAGAUACCAUCUCACACCAGGCAGAAAGGCAAUUACUAAAAAGUCAAGAAGCAACAUGCUGGUGAGGCAGUGGAGAAAUAGGAACCCUUUUAUAUUAUUAGUGGG
rnacentral:lncRNA from 1 species